UUUGAGCGUUUGUCUCUUUGUA
rnacentral:snRNA from 1 species